rfam:Oryza glumipatula chromosome 2, whole genome shotgun sequence.
UAUAAGUGCAGCCAUGAGUUUCCAUGUCCGACUUUGAUCGUCCGUCUUAUUUAAAAUUUUUUAUUAUUAAUAUUUUAUUGUUAUUAAAUUAUAAAACAUGAAUAGUAUUUUAUGUGUGACUUAUUUUUUUUAGUUUUUCAAAAAAAAAAUAAGACGAACGAUUAAAGUUGGACACAGAAACUUAUGACUGCACUUAUU